CGGCACGCUCUGUGGGCCUAAAAUGCCUUGACGUUCGAGCACUUCGGGAGCUAUACCGGCGGACAGCCGGAUGCGGGUAGCUUGGCCGUUCCUUGCUCUGCGCAUCGCUUGAAAACCGGCGGUCAUCCUGCAGUGUACGCUGCCAGCGUGCUUUCUUGCCAGAGCCGCCUCCCCUGCUGGUGAUGACCAUAUGCAGCCAAUGCUGAUGUGAACCCGAGUGACGAACAAAUGCAGAUCUGCAAAGGAGCUGUCCUGAGGCACCAUGCUUACUC